rnacentral:rRNA from 1 species
CAUCCUACGGGGGGCAGCAGUGGGGAAUAUUGCACAAUGGGGGAAACCCUGAUGCAGCGACGCCGCGUGAGUGAAGAAGUAUUUCGGUACGUAAAGCUCUAUCAGCAGGGAAGAAAAUGACGGUACCUGACUAAGAAGCCCCGGCUAACUACGUGCCAGCAGCCGCGGUAAUACGUAGGGGGCAAGCGUUAUCCGGAUUUACUGGGUGUAAAGGGAGCGUAGACGGCAGCGCAAGUAUGGAGUGAAAUCCGAUUGCUUAACCAUGGAACUGCUUUGGAAACUGUGCAGCUGG